rnacentral:sRNA from 1 species
GGAAAUGUUGUGUUCAUACCCCUUCCUCACUCAUCAGUCCGUAUGUGCCCCUCCCAAAGCUGCAUGCUUUAUUGAAGAGGACAACCUUCCCCGAAUAUAGAAGGCUUGCUCUUCAGUCAAGGGUAUAUGAGUAGUUGUGCUUCCCGAUAGAACCUCCAAACAAGCUCUCAGACACAGAUUGGAAACAUGCCAGUGGUCCCCAUGCCACAGGUAGUGAGACCUCCACCAUCUACAGCUCCCCGGGGACAUUGUACUUGGCCUUAUUCCAGAGGG